rnacentral:rRNA from 1 species
UACGAGGGGGGCAAGCGUUGUUCGGAUUUAUUGGGCGUAAAGGGUCCGUAGGCGGUGUGGCAAGUCGGUAGUGAAAUCUCUGGGCUUAACCCAGAGGCUGCUGCCGAAACUGCCGUGCUAGAGUGUGAGAGAGGCGAGUGGAAUUACGGGUGUAGCGGUGAAAUGCGUAGAUAUCCGUAGGAACAUCCGAGGCGAAGGCGGCUCGCUGGAUCACAACUGACGCUGAGGGACGAAAGCUAGGGGAGCAAACAGG